GUAAGUAUUGAAAAAGAAGAAAUACACCUGAGCUAUCGCUAGGACGGAGACAAAGGAACGGCGGUCGUAGACGGCAGGAAGUUGAGCCGUGGCUCAACUCGUGGGGCCCCUUCCUGAUCCGUGGCUCAGGAUUCGUCGUACUGUCGUCUCCUACCUUACCCUGCUGGAUUCAAUGGGUGGGAGUUGUGGAGACACCGCCGCCGCCGCCCGAUUCAGGCGAAUCCAUUGCCGGCUAUGGAACUCCUUCUGCAGCUGAUUACUACUCCUAGAAGAUCCCCUUUGGUUGAGGAGGUGGAUGGAAGUCAUCUCUCCAUGGAUCUGCUGGAUAAAGGACGGCGACGUCUUUCAGGGCAGUGGAAGAGCCGCCGCCGGCAUCCUUUAGGGCAGACGUGCGGAACUGUCAGAAACAGGCAGGCGUGGAUGGACGACGGGAGAGCUCGGCCCAGUUGUCUGCAAAAUGGAUGCACCCUGGUGGUCAAAGAGGUUCGCUAGAAAACCAGAAAUCUAACAUUUUGCCUGUGUCUGCUUCGUUGAUAAUGCUGGGAUCAAAGUAAUCUGGGAUGAGUAGAUCUGUGACAAUUCCCUUGGGGAUGGUAGCAAUGGAAACUGGUAGAGUUUUGAGUGUAUGUCAUGCUAUUAUUCUCUGCUGCUACAAAAACUUAGCAAAUGUACAUACUGCUUGAGGGAUGCUGUGAUUAUGAAUGAUUUGAGGCAGUGCACACAUUGAUGUCUCAUUCGGCAUUAAGCAUACAGAGUCGUUAAUUUUCUCAAGUAUUCUCCUUGGAUAUAUGCUAAUGGAGUUGCUUUGUUGCUUCAUUCUCCUCUCUGAAUUCAAGAUUUGGUUCAGCAGUGCCCACAGACCUUCCAGGUUUGCAGGAUUUCUGGUGUAUGUUGUCAUGGAUUCGAUGUCACGCAGGUCCAGGGAUUUUAGAAGGGCUAUUUAGUCCACAAUAGUUCUUGAGAAUUAUUUGUCAACCUAUACCCUGUAGCAGACAAACCGGAUAGAUACUUGCGAUACGAUCAACAGAAAUUUAGAAUUACCGGUUGCUAAUGGGCACACAUGAACAAUCAAAUUCGUGUUCUUACUUCGUCCUUUUUGCAGUAUUUGAUGGAGAACAAUGAUUUCAUGGCCAUCGGAAUAAUUGGUCCACCUGGUUUGGCAUGUCAACCACCAUGAACGAGCUUUAUUGCAUUAUAUUCUUCCUUUGGAAUUAAUCUGUGUUCAUCUAAUUAAAAUACGGAUAAUUUGUUGAAGUAACAUAUGUGACCCAUCAUUUUAAACCUCAAUUAUCUUCACCAAACAAGGAAAAUAAAAUUGAUAACCUAUGAGGCAAUGAAGACAGCAUGGCCAAUCUCUGCUCUGUUUUCUGCACACAGGAAAAGUGACAAUGAACACUGGCCAAACAUAUGACCAAGAGUCCACAGGACCUAGAUCAUCGACUCUGCCCAGGCCGCUCCAGCAGUAGUGAGGAUCCCUUACAGUAUGAUAAUUGAUAUGCUAACAGAACUAGGAUUACCAAAGGUUUAAUAUCGUUAGAAAAUAUAUGACGGCAGCAAGGCCUGUGUCACUGUCUUUUGUAGCACUCCUAUGCUACUCCAUGAUAGUGAAUCUACCCGUGCAUCCAUAUCUACAGUCCUUUCCAUAGAUGAUGAUGCAGCAGAGGACACAGUUGCUAUUGAAGCUAAAGGUGCUUGGAAAACGCAACCAACACAGAGAUCGGACUACAAUGAAAAUCACAUGAAGCGCCUCCAAACCUGAAUGAGCAGCUCAUGCACCUGCUCAACAUAGUGAAUGGGAGCAAAGAAAAGCUUGCCAGGGGUUGAUUCCUUGCCGUGAGGCACAUGAGGUCCUUCUGUGAACAAAUACAAAACUUGACAUCUCUUAUGCCCAAGACGCCAUAAGAUGAGGUCAUAAACACAGCUCUAGGCAAUAUCAGUGGUAGCAUUUUAAUUCUGCACAGGGAGGCUGCUGAUGGGGGCUAACCUGGCUAUCGAGGGACAUGCUAGCAAGAUAUGCACAAGGGCAAUGUUUGGGCAUAUAUUUUAUGAGUGUGGCGCAUACCAGGUUUUAUAUGAGAAGAAGAACAGAUCAUAUCUUGCAAUACAUACGGAGGUCGAGCGCAAGGAGAAGUGGUGCAGAGUAUCAUACAAGGUCACAAUGAUGGAGGGUGGGGAUGACUUUGACUGUGAGUGUGGGCAGUUCGCCCACAUGGGUAUACUACACACCCAUGUUCUUGAGGUAUUGUUUUCCUUAAAUUAGUAUAGUUUACAGUACUAGCAAUGCAAAUGUGGAGGGUUGGUACCAAAAAAUGAACAAUGUUGUUUUCAGAAAAUGCGGGUACUAGACUUUAUCCAUGUGAAGCAGAUCCCCGAGACACACAUACUAGCAUAGCACUAGUGAAAAUCUAAAUAGUACCUACAACCUCGGAAGCUUGCUAGGUGCAAGAAUUGUGGGGUUAAGGGCCACAGGAGAAACAACUGCACAAAACCAAUGGAUCUGAGAUUAGGGGGUGUCUGAUGCUGGUGUGAAGUGCAUGGCUGCAGCAGCAGCAUCAGUUCUGACUGAUGAAAACCAAGGAGAGCAAGGGUGUAAUCUAAAGAUAUGUUGAUGUGUUUUGGGCAUUUUCUAUUUAUGUUGUACUCAUGUACUGUGUGGUACCGUCCGGCAGUGAGGCUGACUAUGGAUGUAUCUAUGCAGUGCAUUUCCAGGAUCAGGUGUUUCGAUGUAGAAUUAUUGUUAUUUUCACGUGA